UCUAUUCCUCACCAAAUCCAUUCUCUUAACCCAAAUAUAGCACUCAUUCACAAAUCUUAGGGCUAUGAACGGAAGGGUUUCCUUUCGGUUCUCCUCUCUCUCUUUUGGGUGUCGCUGGUUUUGAACCACUUUUCGGUGUCGCUGGCUUGGGCAUCUUUCAGACUCUCUCUGUCCAGCAAUCGCAGUGGUGAACAGCGGAGGACACAAAUCCGGAGCAAAUUGAGGCAAAAAAAUCUAUUUUCAUCAGAAGAAGCUGAAGAACAAGCUAAAAAGGAAUCUGCAAAAACAUUUGUACCUAGUGAGGCUCCAAGUACCCCAGAGGUUCCAAAGGAAGAGCAAGCACCUAAACCAGUUGCUCCGAUGCCAGAGCAAAUUAUAGCUAUCAAGUUGCUAGGUGUUUUUGGAGUGCUGCUGCUAUUUUUGGAGUGCUGCAGCUGCUGUUAGUUGCUAGUUGUUGCUGCAGAAAAUCUGGUGCUGCUACAGAAAUGAAGUGCUGCUAGCUGCUGUUAUUGCUGCUAGUUGCUAGAUAUGAAAAGCUCUGCUAUUCUUUGGGUCAAUUUGGAUGAAGACUCACUCCCUGGGCAGGUUUUACUCUGUGCAUAACUUUGUGGCAAAUCUACAGCAGGUAAGGAAGUCCGUUGGGUUAGGUAGAUGAGUUUGAGUUGGGUGCUUGGGAAUAUGAUUAGUUUGUUCUGCUGAAGAAGUUGGCAUGAUUGCCAUGUUUUUUCUUGCUUUGGAUCAAAUCUUCAGAUUAGAUUUUGGGAAUGCAGGGGAUGGUUUUGGUGAUUGGCCGCUUGUAUCUCUUUUGGUUGUUAUUUGGCUGCUUGUAUUGUUUUUUGGUUGCUUGUAUUUACUGUCUCUUUUACUUUAUUUGUCUUCCUUUCUGUAAUUAUUUAUAUUACAUGAUGAUAAGAUUAAGCCUCUAUCCUAUGUAGCGGUGCACUUGUAUUAGCAGUGUCCGUGGUUCGGUUUAGAACGGUUUACGGUUCGGUUUGGACCCGCCCGCAUCUAUGCGGUUUGGGGAAAAGUCAACCCGCAACCGCCCGCAAUGCGGUUUGCGGUUUGUGCGGAUAGGAAACAACAGUUUGGAAAGGUUUUGUGGAUCUUGUAAUCGAGUUUGAUCUUAAGGUGACUCUUUUCAAAGGCCUGAGAUAGGAAUUGACGAGCAGAUUCGAGAUUUGAUAUGAACAUGUUUGGUAAUUUGGAGAGCAGAGGCUAGCUCAUUUUGUGUUUUUGUUCAUAUUACCUUACCUGUAUUUUGGUUGCGUUGUAAAUUUUAUAUUUUUAUUGGUAUUACAAGACAUGCUUGGUAAUCCGCACUUGAUAUUAUAUUUUUGUUGAUAUUAGUAGAUAUGUUUUUUGUGAAUAUUAGGAGACAUGUUUGGUAAUUCACAUGUAGUUGAUAUUGUA